rnacentral:rRNA from 1 species
CUUUAUGGCAAAUGUGAGAUGCAGUGUAUGGAAUGUCAAAUUUCUAGUAUGAGAAAUUAACGAUUUAAGUCCUUCUUAAAUGAGGCCAUUUACCCAUAGAGGGUGCCAGGCCCGUAUAACGUUAAUGAUUACUAGAUGGCAUUUCCAAAGAGUCGUGUUGCUUGAUAGUGCAGCACUAAGUGGGUGGUAAACUCCAUCUAAAACUAAAUAUAACCAUGAGACCGAUAGUAAACAAGUACCGUGAGGGAAAGUUGAAAAGAACUCUGAAUAGAGAGUUAAAUAGUACGUGAAACUGCUUAGAGGUUAAGCCCGAUGAACCUGAAUAUCCAUUAUAGAGAAUUCAUCAUUAUGAUUUUAAUAUUAAUAAUAUUAUAAUAAUGGUGUGCAUUUUUUCUAUAACGGACAUUGUAAUCUAUUAACAUAAAUAUAUUUAUCAUAAGAUCAAUGAUGCGUAAGUUUAUUUAAAUUAUUUUGCUUGCAAUUUAACAUAGAAUAAAUGCUCUUGAUUUGAUAAAGUGUUGAUAGAUUUAUUGUAUAUAGUGCUUAAAUAUUUAUAUUUUAUAAUAGCAUAUUAAUCAUUGAUUUUUAUGUUUAUUAUAUGCACUUAUAUGAUUAACAAUGCGAAAGAUUCAGGAUACCUUCGGGACCCGUCUUGAAACACGGACCAAGGAGUCUAACAUAUUUGCAAGUUAUUGGGUAUCCAAAACCUAAUAGCGAAAUUAACAUAACUUUAAUGGGAUUAGUUUUUAGAUUAUUUAUAGUCUAUUAWUUCAAUCCCGGGGCGUUCUAUAUAGUUAUGUAUAAUAAUAUUUAUAUUAUUUAUACCUCUAACUAGAGCGUACCUUGAGCAUAUAUGCUGUGACCCGAAAGAUGGUGAACUAUACUUGAUCAGGUUGAAGUCAGGGGAAACCCUGAUGGAAGACCGAAACAGUUCUGACGUGCAAA